AGUUUCGGCCGCGCCACCCUGAACAAGCCGGAUCCCGGCCCAUCUCGGAAGCUAAGCAGGGUCAGAUCUGGUUAGUUCUUGGAUGGGAGACCACCUAGGAAGAAUAGGUGCUGUAGGCG
ensembl:rRNA 5S_rRNA 5S ribosomal RNA